GACACGGCCGAGAAAGGGCCCAGCCCCGCGCGGACCACAGACUGGCAGGCCGGCCAGACAGACGGACAGGCUGACCCCGGCCCGGGGGAGCAGGCGCAGCGGCUGCGCAGGUAAUGUGAAAUGGUGAGACAUGAUUCCUCAGAGCUCUGUUAUCCCACAAGUCUGUGUCUACCAGCCGCACAAGGAAAAUCUUUCACGAGGUUCCUCUCAGUUCCUGUGGCAGACAGACUCUUGGGGAAGUUGCUCACCAUCCCACCUGCUGAUGUCAUGGCUUUCUGUAAUUCCUUCUGUUUGAGUGGUGGGGGUGGGUGGCUGCAGUGGUGCUGUGACUUGCUUCUCACUGGUAGAAUGCAGCAAAGGUGAUGAGAUAGGUGGGAUAGAUGGUGCCAUGUCAGCGAUGACAUGGGUAUAUUAUGUGACAGUGUGGGGCCGGGCACGGUGGCUCAAGCAUGUAAUCCCAGCACUUUGGGGGGCCAAGGUGGGCGGAUCAGGAGGUCAGGAGAUUGAGAACAACCUAGCUAACACGGUGAAACCCUGUCUCUACUAAAAAAUACAAAAAAUUAGCCAGGCGUGAUGGCAGGCGCCUGUAGUCCCAGCUACUUGGGAGGCUGAGGCAGGAGAAUGGCGAGAACCCGGGAGGUGGAGCUUGCAGUGAGCCGAGAUGGCGCCACUGCACUCCAGCCUGGGGGACAGAGUGAGACUCCGUCUCGAAAAAAAAAAAAAAAGAAAGCGUGGCACUUGUCUUGCUGAGUCUCCCUAUGCCUCUCCAUUGGUUUUGAAGAAGCAAGCUGGCAUGUGGCAGCCUGCGGAUGUUGGGAGGCCACACGGCAAGGAACUGCAGCAUCUCUAGGAGCUGAGGGUGGACCCUGACUGGCAGCCAACAACAAACUGAAGCUCUCAAGCCUACCACCAUAAGGAAUUGAAUUCUGCCAAUAACCUGAGUGAGCAUGGAAGCAGAUCCUUUCCCAGCCAAGCCUCAGACAAGGUUCUGGCCCUGGGAAACACCUUGACUGAAGUCUUGUGAGACCAUAGGAAGAAGACUUAGCUGAGCCAGUCUCAGAUCCUGACCCAUAGAACCUGUUAGAUACUUAGCAUGUGUUGUUUUCAGCCUCUGUGUUUGUGGUAAUUUAUUAUACAAUACAUACUGUUCCCCACCCUAAUACUUGAAACUCCUGACCCCAAUCCCUGUGCUCUAUUUACAACUCCAUGCCACCACUGGGGGAAUAAUCCCAUAAUAGUAUCUGUGUGUGGGUAGCUUUACCUGUCUGUAUCUACACAUAGAUCUUGUGACAGUAAAUUUUAUCUAUCAACUUGACUGGGCUAAAGGAUGCCCUUAUAGUUAAUUAAACAUUAUUUCUGGAUAUGUCUGACUAGCAGAGAUUAGCAUUUGGAUUGGUGGACUGAGUGAAGCAGAUGGCCCUCAAUGUCAUCCAAUCCUUGAGGGCCUGAAUAGAGCAAAAAAGGCAGAUGAAGGUUGAUUUUGCUCUUUGCCUGACUGCUUGAGUUGGGACAUUGAUCUCUUGCGCUUGGUGCUUUGGUUCUUAGGCCUUCAGACCUGAGCUGAAAUCUACACCACCGGCUCUCUGACUAUCAGGCUUUGGACUAUACUUUGGGCUUUCCUGGGUCUCUUACCUGGCAGACAGCAGAUUUUGGAACUUUUCAGCCUCCAUAAUCAUUUCCCAGAAGAACCACAAAGCAUAAAUUUCCCCAAAAGGGGAAUUUUGUUGAUGGCUUUAGUCUAUUCCCUCCUAAAAGACCAGCUACAACCAAAUGAAGUGAACAUAACCUCAAGGGUGUAUUGUCUUCAUAAUAAAAGAUGAAGCUUAGAACUGGAUCACUUGGCCCUUUCUCUUCUGACAUCCUCCCAGUUGA
rnacentral:lncRNA from 1 species